AUUGAACGCUGGCGGCAUGCUUUACACAUGCAAGUCGAACGGCAGCAUGGGUGCUUGCACCUGAUGGCGAGUGGCGAACGGGUGAGUAAUGUAUCGGAACAUAUCCGCAAGUGGGGGAUAACGUAGCGAAAGUUACGCUAAUACCGCAUAUUCCCUGAGGGGGAAAGGAGGGGAUCCGCAAGGACCUUUCGCUUACGGAGUGGCCGACAUCAGAUUAGCUAGUUGGUGGGGUAAAGGCCUACCAAGGCGACGAUCUGUAGCGGGUCUGAGAGGAUGAUCGGCGAAACUGGGACUGAGACACGGCCCAGACGCCUGCGGGAGGAAGAAGUGGGGAAUUUUGGACAAUGGGGGCAACCCUGAUCCAGCCAUGCCGCGUGAGUGAAGAAGGCCGUCGGGUUGUAAAGCUCUUUCAGCUGGAAAAAAAUCGCAUCACCUAAUACGUGGUGUGGAUGAUGGUACCAGCAGAAGAAGCACCGGCUAACUACGUGCCAGCCGCCGCAGUAA
rnacentral:rRNA from 1 species